rnacentral:tRNA from 1 species
UUUCCCAUAGUUCAUUGGUAGAACAUCUGGAGACUAUCCGGAAGGCAACAGGUUCAAUUCCUGUUGGGAGAU